UUUUCGCAAUGCCCGAAAGGGUGACGAAGCGACGCCGCGUGAGCGAAGAAGGCCCUAGGGUUGUAAAGCUCUGUCGGGGGUUAUGAAAUGUAGAUCGGUUAAUACCCGGUUUAUUUGACAAAGGCCCCAAAGGAAGCCACGGCUAACUCUGUGCCAGCAGCCGCGGUAAUACAGAGGUGGCAAGCGUUGUUCGGUAUUAUUGGGCGUAAAGAGCACGUAGGUGGUUCUGUAAGUCAGAUGUGAAAGCCUUCUGUUCAAAGGAAGAACGGCAUCUGAAACUACAGAUCUUGAGUGUAGGAGGGGAGAGUGGAACUUCUGGUGGAGCGGUGAAAUGCGUAGAUAUCAGAAGGAACGUCGGCGGCGAAAGCGACUCUCUGGCCUAUUACUGACACUGAGUGUGCGAAAGUUAGGGGAGCAAACGGGAUUAGAUACCCCGGUAGUCCUAACUGUAAACGAUGGGCACUAAGUAGAGGGGUUUUA
rnacentral:rRNA from 1 species